rnacentral:rRNA from 1 species
GUCAUACGCUCGUCUCAAAGAUUAAGCCAUGCAUGUGUAAGUAUAACUAAUUGACUUUGAAACUGCGAAUGGCUCAUUAUAUCAGUUAUAGUUUAUUUGGUGAAGGAUACUAAUUGGAUAACCGUAGUAAUUCUAGGGCUAAUACAUGAGUAAAGUCCCGUAGACUGCGUUUAUUAGAAUGAAAACCAUAGGUUUCGGCCUAUUCGUGAGUAAUAAUAACUAAUCAUAUCGCAUGCUUAUGUAACGAUGAGUCUUUCAAGUUUCUGCCCUAUCAGCUUUCGAUGGUAGUGUAUUGG